GUCUCCGUAGCUCAGUAGGAUAGAGCGUUCGCCUCCUAAGCGGCAGAUUGUUCGAUUCCUUCGAGCCU
rnacentral:tRNA from 1 species